CCUACGGGGGGCAGCAGUGGGGAAUAUUGGACAAUGGGGGGAACCCUGAUCCAGCCAUGCCGCGUGUGUGAAGAAGGCCCUCGGGUUGUAAAGCACUUUCAGUGAGGAAGAACGCCUGGUGGUUAAUACCCAUCAGGAAAGACAUCACUCACAGAAGAAGCACCGGCUAACUCCGUGCCAGCAGCCGCGGUAAUACGGAGGGUGCGAGCGUUAAUCGGAAUUACUGGGCGUAAAGCGCGCGUAGGUGGCUUGAUAAGCCGGUUGUGAAAGCCCCGGGCUCAACCUGGGAACGGCAUCCGGAACUGUCAAGCUAGAGUGCAGGAGAGGAAGGUAGAAUUCCCGGUGUAGCGGUGAAAUGCGUAGAGAUCGGGAGGAAUACCAGUGGCGAAGGCGGCCUUCUGGACUGUCACUGACACUGAGGUGCGAAAGCGUGGGUAGCAAACAGGAUUAGAUACCCGAGUAGUC
rnacentral:rRNA from 1 species